GGGGCAAGCGGUAUGACCGCCCCGGGCACAAUUUGUUGUCCUCUAUUUCUUAAUAGAUAAGGGCUCCAAUUUUUUUUAAAAAUACAUGUAUUUUUAUUUUAAAAAUAUGAAAAAAGGGGCCCAAAUUUUUUUUUAUGAAAGUGUUUUUUUUAUUUUCAUAGAUUUCUUUUUAAAAAUACUUCUGUUAUUUUUUAAAAAAAAACAUAUACCUAUCAGAUUUUUUAAAGAAAAACAAUAGUUUGGAAAUUAAAUUUUUUUCUCCAGGGUCCAUGAUACUAUUGAGUCGGCCUUGCUGAAACGGAAUGAGUAUUAUGUAAUCUAAAAUAUAAAAAUAUAAGUAGUAAGCGAUUUUCUUUCCUACAAAGUUCCUAGUUAAUCCCCAGCCUGUUAAUCACUACACUACGUUGUUUUUAAUUCGUAAUAAAGUAACAACGAAAUUAUGUCGUGAAAUACUAGCAAGCGCAAAAUAUCGAAACCAUUUAUAUAUUUAGCAACAAAAUGUGGUCAACAAAUCUGGUGAAUUGCCCACGAUCUGGAAAUAUUUUAGCAACAGCUUAGAGAGUAGUGUUUCAGUCUGUCGGUAACUAAUGAGUAAUGGCUAAUUAAGCAACCAACAACAAAAAAUAAAAGCCAGUUUACAAAAAAAAAAAAAAAACAACAAAAAAUAAACUUAACGACUAAUUGCACUUAGCAACCGACAAAAAAAACUAAAGACUAAUUGCUGACGAAAAAACUUUGCUCAACACCAAAAAAAAAAAUUGUUUGCUUUAUCUUUUUAACAAAAUUCGCAACUUUCUCUUUUGUAGAUCCAAUCAUAACUAAAGCAGCUUUUCUAAUGAUUUUCAUAGAAAAAUCACACAUGCGUUCUCCAAAAUGGUUAAACAGGCGUUAGGCACCACCAACCAGACUGACAUAAGAUUGCAUGGGUACAUGCUCUCUCUAAAACCCGAGCAUCUUAUAUUCUACACCCUCUAACUCUUAAAUCUAAUAAUACAAACUAUAUAAUAUUGAACAAUGUAUAUACAUUAAUUCAAUAGCAAGGGAACGGUAGGAGAAUCAUUGUCCCAUCCAUGUAUAUUCAAAUAGUACUCUCCUUUCUAUGUUUAAUUAAUUUUGAAUCCAAAGAUGUCGUCAAGUAUAGAGGUUAGAUGUAGUGUCUUUUUCUUUCAUUUUCAACACGCUGAAACGUGGAAGAUGCUCUUAUUUUCUGCGUGUUGUAUAUGUAAAUACUCGAAUUUCUCUUGAAUUGAACUCAAUAUACCCAACCACUCACCGACACAUUUCUUUUGCUUCUUUAAAUUUAAUGCCCUUAUACUAUUCAAUGGUACUAUUAUCACUUCCCGUUUAUCAUUCAACACAUACAUUU
rnacentral:lncRNA from 1 species